rnacentral:rRNA from 1 species
UACGAAGGGGACUAGCGUUGUUCGGAAUCACUGGCGUAAAGCGCACGUAGGCGGAUUUGUAAGUCAGGGGUGAAAUCCCGGGGCUCGAACCUCGAACUGCCUUUGAUACUGCGAAUCUUGAGUCCGAUAGAGGUGGGUGGAAUUCCUAGUGUAGAGGUGAAAUUCGUAGAUAUUAGGAAGAACACCGGUGGCGAAGGCGGCCCACUGGAUCGGUACUGACGCUGAGGUGCGAAAGCGUGGGGGAGCAAACAGG